UGCUUGUCGUACGAGUUCAUACUCGUGGCGUAUAGCUCAGUAACACGUGGUCAAACUACCCUCUGGACUGAGAUACCCUCGGGAAACUGAGGUCAAUCUCGGAUACUGCUUUCACGUUGGAACAACGGAAAGCUGGAAACGGUCCGCCGCCGGAGGACGUGACUGCGGCUGAUUAGGUAGACGGUGGGGUAACGGCCCACCGUGCCAAUAAUCAGUACGGGUUGUGAGAGCAAGAGCCCGGAGACGGAAUCUGAGACAAGAUUCCGGGCCCUACGGGGCGCAGCAGCCGCGAAACCUUUACACUGCACGACAGUGCGAUAAGGGGAUCCCGAGUGCGAGGGCAUACAGUCCUCGCUUUUCGUGACCGUAAGGUGGUCACAGAAUAAGGGCUGGGCAAGACCGGUGCCAGCCGCCGCGGUAAUACCGGCAGUCCGAGUGAUAGCCAAUUUUAUUGGGCCUAAAGCGUCCGUAGCUGGCCGAACAGGUCCGUCGGGAAAUCCACCCGCUUAACGGGUGGGCGUCCGGCGGAAACCAGUCGGCUUGGGGCCGGGAGACCAGAGGGGUACGUCCGGGGGUAGGAGUGAAAUCCCGUAAUCCUGGACGGACCACCGGUUGCGAAAAGCGCCUCUGGGAGAACGGACCCGACAGUGAGGGACGAAAAGCUAGGGUCUCGAACCGGGAUUAGAUACCCGGGUAGUCCUAGCCGUAAACGAUGCUCGCUAAGUGUGACGCAAGCUACGAGCCUGCGUUGCCCCGUAAGGAAGCCGAAAAGCGAGCUGCCUGGGAAGUACGUCUGCAAAGAUGAAACUUAAAAGGAAUUGGCGGGGG
rnacentral:rRNA from 1 species